GGUGAGAGCCCGGCGGAGCCGGAGAGCUGCGGAGCUUAAAUGAAGCGCACACACGAAGCGGCACACACCGUGCAGUGCGGCUCAGGAAGAGGCUCAGCGCCGCUAAAGCUGAAGGCUGCUCCGGCUGAAUGAAAGGUCCAUGCGGAGGCUAGCGCUCAUUCUGCUGCCCUGUGCUGUCGCCGUCCUGGUGCACUUGUGGUUGGCACAACGACCCUCCUCCAGCCCGCUGGACAACAACACACACUCGGAUGAAUCGUUACCUUUCUAUGAAGUUUUGGUGGGAGUGCUGUCAGCAAGACACCAUUAUGAACUGCGACAAGCGAUAAGGCAGACCUGGCUGGGCUACAUCCGAGACCACCCUCACUUCCAGCUCAGAGUGGGGGUGAAGUUCAUCGUCGGAGAACAUGGGUGUCCCAUUCCAGAGGAGGACAGAGAGGAUCCAUACUCCUGCUCCCUCCUGAACUUUACAAAGCCAGUGGUGGGGCCGGAUGCAGAGAUAGAGAUCGUGAAGGUGUCUGACCCCUCGCUGCUCGCCCCCUCCGACGUGUCUGCCAUCGCCCUGGAUUUCAAAGUUCUCCACCCAGUGGUGAUCACGAGGCUGGGGGUGUUUCCCAGCGGGACCCAGCCCGAGCUUCAAAGCAAUGUGACGGUGAAGCUUCUCCAGCUCGACCAGGAGGAGGCUGUGGUCACGGCUCGCUUCAGUGCCAUCAGCACCGGCACCGUGGUGAGCGGGGUGUGGUACAAACCAGUGGAGCAGUUCAUCUUGCCCAAGGGUUUUGAGGGGACACUGGUCUGGGAGAAUUUGGAUUCUGCUGGAUUGACCACGGUCAACUCGUCUUCUGUGCAGCUCAAUGACGGAGGAGGUGUCCUCAAGAUCUCCUCUAUCGCCGAGGGCUUAUUGCCUCAUAGAAGUGCGCUCGGAUUUCCCGGUUUGGCUGGAGGGUUCACAUUUACUAUCUAUGAUGAGGACGGUCUGUCGGGGCUCCUGCGGGGCCGCCCGGCCAGGAUGGAGCGCCAUGCCUCCAGGCUGAGGGAGGAGGACGCCGCCCUGCAGCAGGAGAGCCUCCGGCACGGAGACAUGGUGUUCGUAGACGUGGUAGACACCUACAGGAACGUGCCUUCCAAACUGCUUCAGUUCUAUAAAUGGUCUGUGGGAAACGCUGACUUUAAUCUGCUGCUGAAGACGGAUGAUGAUUGUUACAUCGACGUGGACUCAGUUUUAAUGAAGAUUGACCACAAGGGUCUCAAGCGCAGCAAUUUCUGGUGGGGGAAUUUCAGGCAGAGCUGGGCAGUGGACCGCAUUGGGAAGUGGCAGGAGCUGGAGUACCCGAGUCCCGCCUACCCAGCGUUCGCCUGCGGUUCGGGCUACGUGGUCUCUCGUGACCUGGUCCAGUGGCUCGCCAGUAAUGCGGAUAAACUGAAGGCCUACCAGGGAGAAGAUGUGAGCAUGGGGAUAUGGAUGGCAGCUGUUGGACCACAGAAAUAUCAGGACCCUGGCUGGCUGUGUGAGAAGGAGUGCUACCUGGAUAUGCUGUCGUCUCCCCAACACACCGCAGAGGAGCUGCACACCCUCUGGGACAGGAAGAGGGCCUGUGGAGACCCCUGCGGCUGUCCCUGGGGCCACUAAGUCUAGCUCCCAGCACAAGUACCACGCGGCACUUGAGCUGCAUGAUAACAGAGUCAUAUCCGCAUCUGUUCCACUCUCCUACGUAGAUAAGGACGGCUGUUUUCACCCCAUCAGCCUCUCUCUCGCUGAUUUGGCUCAAAGCCCUUCAUUGUGAAGCAUGAGAGAAGCAUGGAAAUAACACGCAGAUAGGAGAAAUAAAAGCCAAGCUCUCAUCUCCGCUCUGAGAUAUGCUCCAAAUCUUCUUCUGCCUCCUUUGUUCCCUGGGUGUGUAUGAACCCUGUUCUCUCUUUCCUACCCAUCCAACCAGGCAAUCAAUUCAACCACAUCAUAAUAACUUGAGAGAAAUUGUACAAUGUUUGCCUUACAAAUGCAGCGCUGUGAACUUUUCCUGAGGGGUCCUUUUCACCACUUUUUGUUAUACUUUAUCUCACCCUAUGUCCUGCCAACAUGGGGUAUAAAAAUGUGAUUGUACUAGCAACAAGCAAUGGUUGGAUAAUGUAAAAUAAUGUUGGGUCAGACGGGAACACUACUGAAGAAUUCCUUUGUUCUCUAAAUCAAUCCUUUUGAAAAAGCUGGAAGCGUAAAGCAGAACUAGAAAUAUUUUUUUACAAAACCCCGGCAUAAGGAAAGAUCUAGAUUCAAGAAUGUGAUUCAUCCAUAUGUUCUACAAAUGACCUCACACGUUUUUUUAUUCGUAUCUGCUCUGCAACAAAUUUGUAAUCUUUUCUAAGAAACGAUGAGAUUACUAUUCCCUGAACCACUGACUUAUUUCAACUCUAUUUAUAUUUUGCCAUGAAAGGUCAAUCAUCCAUUUAGCCAGUGACAAGCACUGCUCUCAGACAACAGAGGGAACUCAGGUGCUCAAGUUAAUUGUAUUUAUAAAAUCCUUUUCAUCUUGAGUUACCUCCUCUCAAAACUCAUCUUCUUGCGCUGCGGUUUGAUCACAGGAAUAUUUAGACAUUAUGAUUAAUUUUCCUCAUGGUCCCACUUACAUCUCAACAGAUGAAGCACUUCAUCAACAGUGCAGAUACGGAAUCUGCUCAUAGCUUUUUUGUUAAUUUAUGCCCCCCUGGAACUAACUGUUAUUUUUUUUUUGCUUUUAGCCCCUCUUGUCUACAUAAGGAAGCAGGCCAUCUUCUUCUAUUCCUCCAUGUUUCUACAGUAGCUCAGAAUGGACAAUCUAAACUCCCAUUUUUACUUGAAGGCCACUGUCAUGUUCUGACAUGUUUUGAAAAGGACUUGUUUCCAGUGAUUUCCUACUAAAUCCUAAACAGCGUUACACAUUAUAUAAAGAGUAUUUUGGUAUGAUGUGAUCAUGUUCUUUAGGGUCUGCACACUGACUUUAGGUCAAAUGACCCUAUUGAGUUGUAUCCUCAGUAGUACUGUACCAUCCUAACUCAUUAAUUGUUCCAGUUACUUUGAUGAACUAUUUCAAUGUUUUAUUCAUUCAGGGUGUCCGUGGGGUCUUAAAAAGUAUUAAAAGUUGA